CAAUAGCGUAUAUUAAAGUUGUUGCAGUUAAAAAGCUCGUAGUUGGAUUUCUGGUGGGAGCGAUCGGUCUGGCGCUUAGCGCGAGUACUUGCAUCGUCUCCGGCCAUCCUUGGGGAGAGUCUGUCUGGCAUUAGGUUGUCGGGCAGAGGAUCCUCAUCGUUUACUGUGAAAAAAUUAGAGUGUUCAAAGCAGGCUUAUGCCGUUGAAUAUAUUAGCAUGGAAUAAUAAGAUAGGACUUUGGUACUAUUUUGUUGGUUUGCGAACCAAAGUAAUGAUUAAUAGGGACAGUUGGGGGUAUUCGUAUUCCGUUGUCAGAGGUGAAAUUCUUGGAUUUACGGAAGACGAACUACUGCGAAAGCAUUUACCAAGGAUGUUUUCAUUA
rnacentral:rRNA from 1 species